rnacentral:rRNA from 1 species
UACGUAGGGGGCAAGCGUGUCCGGAUUUAUUGGGCGUAAAGAGCGUGUAGGCGGCCAUACAGGUCAGCUGUGAAAACUCGAGGCUCAACCUCGAGACGCGGGUUGAAACCGUAUGGCUAGAGUCCGGAAGAGGAGAGUGGAAUUCCCGGGUGUAGCGGUGAAAUGCGCAGAUAUCGGGAAGAACACCCGUGGCGAGGCGGCUCUCUGG